rnacentral:rRNA from 1 species
UGGGGUGCUAGAGUGGCGAACGGGUGGGUAACACGUGAGUAACCUGCCCUUGACUUUGGGAUAACUUCAGGAAACUGGGGCUAAUACCGGAUAGGAGCUCCUGCUGCAUGGUGGGGGUUGGAAAGUUUCGGCGGUUGGGGAUGGACUCGCGGCUUAUCAGCUUGUUGGUGGGGUAGUGGCUUACAAAGGCUUUGACGGGUAGCCGGCCUGAGAGGGUGACCGGCCACAUUGGGACUGAGAUACGGCCCAG